rnacentral:rRNA from 1 species
GACGAACGCUGGCGGCGUGCUUAACACAUGCAAGUCGAACGAAGAGCGAUGGAAGCUUGCUUCUCUCAAUCUUAGUGGCGAACGGGUGAGUAACGCGUAAUCAACCUGCCCUUCAGAGGGGGACAACAGUUGGAAACGACUGCUAAUACCGCAUACGAUCUAACCUCGGCAUCGAGGAUAGAUGAAAGGUGGCCUCUACAUGUAAGCUAUCACUGAAGGAGGGGAUUGCGUCUGAUUAGCUAGUUGGAGGGGUAACGGCCCACCAAGGCGAUGAUCAGUAGCCGGUCUGAGAGGAUGAACGGCCACAUUGGGACUGAGACACGGCCCAGACUCCUACGGGAGGCAGCAGUGGGGAAUCUUCCGCAAUGGACGAAAGUCUGACGGAGCAACGCCGCGUGAGUGAUGACGGCCUUCGGGUUGUGAAGCUCUGUUAAUCGGGACGAAAGGCCUUCUUGCGAAUAGUGAGAAGGAUUGACGGUACCGGAAUAGAAAGCCACGGCUAACUACGUG